rnacentral:rRNA from 1 species
GGGGAAUAUUGCACAAUGGGCGCAAGCCUGAUGCAGCGACGCCGCGUGAGGGAUGACGGCCUUCGGGUUGUAAACCUCUUUCACCAGGGACGAAGCGCAAGUGACGGUACCUGGAGAAGAAGCACCGGCCAACUACGUGCCAGCAGCCGCGGUAAUACGUAGGGUGCGAGCGUUGUCCGGAAUUACUGGGCGUAAAGAGCUCGUAGGUGGUUUGUCGCGUUGUUCGUGAAAACUCACAGCUUAACUGUGGGCGUGCGGGCGAUACGGGCAGACUAGAGUACUGCAGGGGAGACUGGAAUUCCUGGUGUAGCGGUGGAAUGCGCAGAUAUCAGGAGGAACACCGGUGGCGAAGGCGGGUCUCUGGGCAGUAACUGACGCUGAGGAGCGAAAGCGUGGGGAGCGAAC